UGGGGAAUAUUGGACAAUGGGCGAAAGCCUGAUCCAGCCAUGCCGCGUGUGUGAAGAAGGUCUUCGGAUUGUAAAGCACUUUAAGUUGGGAGGAAGGGCAGUAAGCUAAUACCUUGCUGUUUUGACGUUACCGACAGAAUAAGCACCGGCUAACUCUGUGCCAG
rnacentral:rRNA from 1 species